CGGAGGAUCCAAGCGUUAUCCGGAAUCAUUGGGUUUAAAGGGUCCGUAGGCGGUUUAGUAAGUCAGUGGUGAAAGCCCAUCGCUCAACGGUGGAACGGCCAUUGAUACGUGCUAGACUUGAAUUAUUAGGAAGUAACUAGAAUAUGUAGUGUAGCGGUGAAAUGCUUAGAGAUUACAUGGAAUACCAAUUGCGAAGGCAGGUUACUACUAAUGGAUUGACGCUGAUGGACGAAAGCGUGGGUAGCGAACAGGAUUAGAUACCCUGGUAGUCCACGCCGUAAACGAUGGAUACUAGCUGUUGGGAGCAAUUUCAGUGGCUAAGCGAAAGUGAUAAGUAUCCCACCUGGGGAGUACGUUCGCAAGAAUG
rnacentral:rRNA from 1 species